AUGUAUAUGUGCAAUUAGCAGUUUGUUCUUGCAUGGGUCUGUCAGGGCUUGGGAGACAUUCGGCAUGUGCAUGGGUAGGUUCCCCUGGCUUGAUUUUCUCUGCGAGGAACCUGGUUCAUAUGCAUUGGCACUGCUCUGCAGCCAAGCCCUCAUCUGAAAGUAAUUGAGUGGCUCUCUUCAAACCUGCCUUGUUGCCCCAACCAAAACAUUAGUGUGAGCCCAGUCCCUGACAGCUCACUGCGGUUGGCUCUCUGUGGGCUGAUUUGCGUGCUGUGUUGACUGAGUUUCCUCUCAGCUCUAAAGACUGUGUAUCAUUUAUCUAUUUUUUUACAGGUGUCAUUAUGCAAAUUAUGUAUGCAUACAAAUAUAAACACAUAUACACAAAUCUUACGUGGAUAACUAUGUAAAAACAAACUUCAAUUAUACCUACAAACAUACAUGUAUAUGUAUAUAUUUGCCAUAAUCUAUUACUGCAAAGGUAUUAUCUCCACAGUUGAUGGUAUGAAUGCCAUUGCAGCUACUGUUGUCCUCCUUUGGUUGGAGUGAUACCCGUCCAGCACUGCCCUUUAUUAGAAGAUUAUCCGAACUUCUCAGUUAUGCAAACAAACAAAAAUGUAUUCUGUAGGUUUGUUACAUUGGUCACAAUGUGAAGUGCAUUUGUAUGAAUUGAAAGCACGUGGGACUGCAAGCUAUAGCUACAUUACAAGUUUCCAAGGAUAUACUGCUGUCAAUGUCAUUUUUUUUUAGCAAAAGUAUCUUCACCAAACCUCAAACUACACUUCAAGAAGUCAAGAAAUAAUAAUGGUGGUUUGAGGCAUGAAACAAAGGAUGGUAUUGUUGUGUGGAGGAAGCAAGCACAACCUAGGUAAGGUGAAGGAGGGAACUCGUUGCUGUUGUGCAGUUCUGCAGCAGGCAAGACCUGAGCUGCAUAAAAAAAAGCAUUUAUCUAUGGCAAUGUUUUUGUCACCUUUUUGAUACUUUAGAAAUAUUCCUAAUUCAUUGUCUUCCAGGUAGAGAGGUUAUUUCUAUUAUAUAAAUGAUAUUAAAUAUGUAUAUUAAAAUGUAAUGUCCUUUGGACAGUUCUAACUUGUGGGAUGAAAUGGCAAGGCAGAUGGGGAAAAUGUCUGUGGGAACAGGGGAGUAACUGGAAGAUAAGUGAAAAAAACAGGAUCUGACUAUUAAAGACAUCUGGGAGGUUUGUAUGUCUAAAAAAUUUGGGGAUUUACAAUCACAACAUACUAUAAAACUGGAGUUGCAAAUCAAACUUCUCUUACUUUAUAUGCCUUGCAGGGGGAGUGAGCCAUGUUUUGUGAGUCAAACGCAGAACAAAAUAGAAACCCCCAAAACACCCCAAGCACACUGGGAAGUCACCCAGAGAGAAGAGAUUACGUUUAGAAGAGCUUUUGUUCCCAGUGAGCUAAAGAUAUUAAUACGCAUCUGGUAUACAAUGAUAUCAGCAUACUGAAUUGCAGGAAGAGCAGGUUAUUGGGGAGUCAGGAUCUGUUGUUGAGAUUUGUUUGUACUCAGUAUUUAGCAAAAAGAAAAGGAAUAUAAUUAGAAGACUGUGAACUGGGUUAAGAGUUGUUUCUUCUAAAGAAGAAACAAUGAGGAGAGGAUGUCUGCUGAAAUAGUCUCUUCAUGCAGGCAGCUCAGAGAUGUCCACGGAAGGAAAUCUGUUCAGUAGCCCAUAAUCGCUCUGAGUUCCAUGUAGAUGUUGAUCUUUUGUUCAGCUGAUUUCCUUUUGGUAGCUGUUUUCUGCUUUGCAAUCAAGAGAUAGAAUAAACGGGACUCCUGCUUUUCCUUAUUCUUAUCAAACGACAGAGGAAUCUUAAGGCCAGGUGUUGGUGUAUGCUAGUUGCUCUCCAGGGAACAAAAGCAGCAAGCAGGUGGAGACAGAAUGGUUCGCUUCCAAAUGUUUCAGAGUUCUUGGGCUUGGGAUGUGUUGCCUCCUAGCUCAGUUCGACGCAAGGUGGUGGCUUGCAAAAGGAAGCCUCCCAUGGCAGCCUUCAGCCAGCAUAGCUUUACCAGGCUCCCGUUGAAAUGAAGUGAGCGUUUAACUCAGAUGAUAACUGUGUGUCUUGUGGGUUCCUUCACAUCUCCAGUCCGGUUACUGGGAAACUUUCUCCUCCAACCACCCUUUGACUGUCUAUAAAUAAGUGUAACAAAAAGGGUACUGAGUAUUAAUUCACAGUGAAUCACAGCUGAACAGUAUGAUCAGGUGAAUCCCAUAAAGAGAACUGACAGUGUAUUCAGAUCGGAUGUUUGCCAUUCAAGGAUCUGCACCUCUUAUGAUCUAUUUGGGCCCAUCUUUCUCUAGCCUUUAGAAAAGACUUCUAGAGUCUUGCUGGUUGUCUUAUUAACAUGUAGAGAUGGCUAACUGGUGAAUCACAGCUUCCUUUAAGUAGCCCCUGACAUCUGUAGCAUUCUGUCAAAGUGUAGAGGGAAAUGAGAUGAAAGGCUUAAAAUGCUGUGUGGCUUUUCCAAUUUUAAGUAAUGUCAGACAUUCUUUGAAGUAAUUUGGCCUCUUGUGAAAAAUGUUCCCUGCGUUCAAGGGCAUCAAAACCAGGCAGCCCUCCUAAAAAUAGUACAUACUUAUUUGUUGAGUUAAAAGUUUCACAGGUAUCCUUUUUAUUCAUCCUACUUUGUUUAUCUGUGAAGGUGCUCAUUUGUUUGUUUUCCUUGCAAGAUUCCUGAGAACGUUCUUAUACUUCCAAACCACAUUUCUCGAAUCUGAGUAUGGGAAGGGGGUAGUACAUAGAUUACUUGCUGAAUAUACUAAAACUCAAUCAUAUUUAACUACUUUAUGAAGUCUGUUUAAGUUUUGUAACAUUUAACUACUUUAAUUCUAGGCUAGAUCCUCUUUUCUGCUAACUUGUUUUCCUAGUGAAAAAAGAGAAAAUAAUAGGUGCAUUAAUUGUUAGUUAAGGUAGCAGGCCAUGGUGAACCUCUUAACAUUCUCCUAUUUUAUGAGCAUAAAACUUCUAUUUUAAUAAUGCCUUGCAAUAAAGGAUCUUUUCAUGGCAGCUAAAUGAUGUACAAUGGUAAUAUUUCUACAAGAAAAUGAGAUUUUGAUAUUGCCUUGGUUUUCAGUGAAACAAAAGAAUUUGUGAAGAACUUGAAAGAGAAUACCACUCAUCAUCAUGGACAGCUGAUGAAGAAGACCGAACCAGGGAAGAGUGGUUGAGAUUCUUUUUUUCUAGUUAAAGGAAGCAGGAGAUGUUCUUGCUCUAGCAAACAGCACUGACAUGAUCAAGAAUCUCUGAAAAUCCCUGGAGAGAUCUCUCCAAGCACUGUGACAGCAGGGAGGCAGGCAUUCUCUUGUUACUUUAUGAUUCAGUAAGAAAAGGAUGAGGUUCCAGAAGUGAAGGAUGUAGAAGAGAUGACUUCAGUUGGUGCACAAGACAUUUAUUUCAAGUAGCCGUUUCAGGGCUAAGACUUUGCCCACCAUCUUCACCCCCUGCAGUACUCUGGUUUCUGAAACUUCAAGCCUGCUGAGCAAGCCUGUUAGGUUACAGAAAACGAACACAACACAGUGACUGGCUGGGGGCGAGGCACGGAGCUGCUGCUGGAUGCAGUAUCCUCAGAUGGCCUGUUGUUUGCUCAGUGUUUCUCAAAGCUCUGCCUUGUUUUUCAGACAAGAGUAGGGAUUGAAGGCCAC
ensembl:lncRNA